ACCAGGAUGCCAUGACCAGACUUGGGAGUUGGAGCCAGACGCUGGGGCCCGGUUGCCAGAGGCCAGAGACAGGAACUGAAACGGAUCCUCCCAUUGUAACAAACCUGUGAUUCAAUAAGAUAAAACCCAUGUCUCUCUAAAUGCAGACUUCAAAAUCUUGCCAAGCCCAGCAGCAAUGGGCCAAAGACAGAGUGAACAAAAAGGAUGCUGACCAUGGAGGCAGACGUCCAUGAUCUCUCCCUCAGCUGCCACAGG